GACGAACGCUGGCGGCGUGCUUAACACAUGCAAGUCGAACGGAAAGGCCCUGCUUUUGUGGGGUGCUCGAGUGGCGAACGGGUGAGUAACACGUGGGUAACCUGCCCUUGACUUUGGGAUAACUUCAGGAAACUGGGGCUAAUACCGGAUAGGAGCUCCUGCUGCAUGGUGGGGGUUGGAAAGUUUCGGCGGUUGGGGAUGGACUCGCGGCUUAUCGGCUUGUUGGUGGGGUAGUGGCUUACCAAGGCUUUGACGGGUAGCCGGCCUGAGAGGGUGACCGGCCACAUUGGGACUGAGAUACGGCCCAGACUCCUACGGGAGGCAGCAGUGGGGAAUAUUGCACAAUGGGCGGAAGCCUGAUGCAGCAACGCCGCGUGCGGGAUGACGGCCUUCGGGUUGUAAACCGCUUUCGCCUGUGACGAAGCGUGAGUGACGGUAAUGGGUAAAGAAGCACCGGCUAACUACGUG
rnacentral:rRNA from 1 species